rnacentral:rRNA from 1 species
UACGUAGGGGGCAAGCGUUGUCCGGCAUCAUUGGGCGUAAAGAGCGUGUAGGCGGCGCGGUAAGUCCGCCGUGAAAGUCCAGGGCUCAACCCUGGAAUGCCGGUGGAAACUGCCGGGCUGGAGUCCGGAAGAGGCGAGUGGAAUUCCUGGUGUAGCGGUGAAAUGCGCAGAUAUCAGGAGGAACACCAAUGGCGAAGGCAGCUCGCUGGGACGGUACUGACGCUGAGACGCGAAAGCGUGGGGAGCAAACAGG